CAGGCAGUAAGUUAGAUAAGACUUUAGUACUUCAAAUACUAGUGCAGGCAGUGUGCCUCUGCCUGU
rnacentral:tRNA from 1 species